CCAUCAUGGACAUUGUACUUCACGGCUGUAAAGUCAACUGAACAAACAUCAUAUGAAGCGAGCAAAGCUGAUUAGAGAGAGUAGAAGUAGAGGAAGAAGAAGUAGAGAGAGAGAGAGAGAGAGAGAGAGAGAGAGAGAGAGAGAGAGAGAGAGAGAGAGANAGNNNGAGAGAGAGAGAGGUGAAAGAGAUUGAGAGAGAAUCAGAAAGGUGGAUUCUUGUAGGGUGAUGACGCAAUGACUUGAAGAAGUGGGAAUCGGUGGGGAAUCAUGAUUUGUUCAACGGCGAGUUAAAAAUGGAAGGGAGAGCGUGGCUUGGCACUCA
rnacentral:lncRNA from 1 species